UUUAAACGGCUAAAUCGCACCGCGUUGAUCCCACACAAUACAUAGCCGGAGCUUAGAUCCAAGACUUUCUUCGUUUAGUGUUGUCGUAAUAAAUCCACUGUUCGUCUCCAGUGACAGUAAGCAGUGAAGCAGUAAAUCACAAAUCAAAAAUCGCUUUUGUUGUUUAUGUUCUGAAAAACAAUUAACAGUUGUUUUCGCGUGAAAUUACUCCUGUAGAUAUUGAAAAAUAUUGAAUACUAGUGGGAAAGGUGAUGAUGCAUACCUAAGUGCAUUUUUGGAAUUAACUUUAAAAAAAUUUUGAGGAACAUUCACUGUGAGGACGGUAAGAAGCCUUACAAAAUACUGGCCAGCUUUCUAGCCGAUCAGUUUCAGUGUGCUAAUAUAUAACGCAAUAACAGUUUAUUUUGCCGCAAAUACUAAACCGUAACUGUAAAAGCUUAACCUUUACUGUACUUGGAUAUGUGACCCUCACUGAUGCAGGCUACCCAAGUGCGUUAUCCUCUUGUAGAGGUUUGCAGGGACUAAAUUGGGAACUAAUUACUUUUACUUCAUAAGGAGUUGAAUUUACGUCCUACGGAGUCUAGAGAUUAACAUUCCCAAACUCUAGAAGGGCAGGGUUUCACCCGCUCGAUACUGGAUGAGAAAAUUGCACGGAUCACAUCUGAUGCGUAUGUAAACUAGUUUGCCUUUGCAUUUUUAUGUUAACAGGCUAAACAGCUUAUUAGCAUUCUUUCAAACUUUCAGAUAAGGUUCGUUAGCUCGACUAAUAAAUACGAAACCAAAAAUAGAUUCAUUAUUUCGCAGUAAAUAUUACCAUUAAUUACCAUUUAAAUGAAAUUUGCAUCGCAUAUUUUAAUACAAUUAUACUAGUUAUUUUGUUAAACACUUUGAGU